AUGUUGCUCUGCAGCCUGCUGAAGGUGGUCACAGCUUCAAUGUGGCUAGGAUCUGGUAUGGCCCAGAAGGUAACCCAGUCCCAACCAGCAAUGUGGGUGCAGGAGAAGGAGGCUGUGACCCUGGACUGCGCAUACGACACCAGUGUUAGUCGUUUUUCUCUAUUCUGGUACAAGCAGCCCAGCAGUGGGGAGUUGAUUUUCCUUAUUCGGCAAGACUCCUAUAAUGAGCAAAAUGCAACUGAAGGUCGCUACUCAUUGAAUUUCCAGAAGGCAAGAAAAUCAAUCCACCUUACCAUCUCAGCUUCACAACUGGAGGACUCAGCGAUGUAUUUCUGUGCACUGAAAGACCUCACAGUGAGAGGACUGUUGGAGGAAGUUGUACAAAAACCCCUGGAGUUGGCUUGA